CGGGGUGUAGCGCAGCCUGGUAGCGCACUUGCUUUGGGAGCAAGCUGCCGGGGGUUCAAAUCCCUCCACCCCGA
rnacentral:tRNA from 1 species